ACUCUCUUCCUUUUUUUCUCGUGUGUUUUGGCUUCCAAAGAUGGGUGUGACUUCUCCUCAAAACCACAGGCAGUUUUUUUUGUCAGCUCCCAUAAGAAAACAUCCCUUCUCAAAACCAGUUGCCAUGCUCGCUAUAUAUCCUGAACUGAGUUUUUUUUUUUUUUUUUUUAAAAAAGAGGAAUCUUGCACUGCAUGGAUGAGGCUUUUCGGGAACUUGAUGUUGCAUUUUCGGGAUUUCUUGAGAUUUGACUGACUUAGGUGGCGUGAUCUUCGGAGGCAUUUGGGAACUGAAGAUUCGUUGAUGGAACCCAGACGGAGAGAGCCAAGCUCGAGAACGAGAGAAUGGUGCUUCUCAUCCCCCAGAAGGAGCUCCAAUUUGCUCCAUCUUCAACAGCAGCAGCAGCAUUCAUCCAACAAAAGGAGCGGCGGCAGCGAUGAGGGUUGAAAGGCGAAGGAUUCUGAAAGAAACUAAAAGCAAAAACUCCGGCUCACGCAAAGCCUUCGCCCCCAAUUCAAAAAUUGUUUCGAUUGUGUCUUUCGUUCGACCUCCGUGAUCGGGCCGAGGUCCGGUGGCGCCGGCAGCGUGCGACCGGACGGCGGCUCUGCAACCCGGAAGAAAGCUCCGACCACCAACCCAACCGUGGCUGAUUCGAAGGUGGAGACGCUGUGUGACUUGCUCGAUGGAGGAUUGAUAGCUUUGGACCCUAUUCUUACAAAAAAAAUUGAGUCUUUCGAAAUGGGCAUCGGGAAUUAGUUGGUACUCCAUCGAUCAGUUAAAUUUUGCUCUCUUUAUGCUUGUUUUUUUGGGAUACACUUAUUGGUGGAGAGGAAUCACAACAUGUGUGUCUGCUGCUUGUUCCAUGAGUUAUGGAGGAUUUCUAAAGAACAACCACCUCUCGCUCAAUUCGUAGUGCAUGCUGGCAGACUUUUUAAUGAAUUUUGUGUGGUACGUUCUGAAAUUUUUAACUGACUGCAAAAUGGAAAGUGGUAUGUGCAAGUCUGAUGCCAGUGGAUGCCUUAAAGCUUUUACUUCAUUUUCAACGACUUAAAAAAGGGCAUUAGCAAUCACGGCAUUUUCUUUUUUGUCUCUGUUAGUUCUCUGUAAUUGGGAUGUGCUUCGAGCUUUCCCUUUGUUCAAUACUUUUCUUUCUGCUUGGAUGCUUUUUUGUGUCUGCUAUAUCGAGGAUACUGAGGUGAUUUGUGUAGUUCCCUUCCUUUUCAUUCGGAUGUAAGUUCUUUGGCUGCACUUGAUGAUUGUGUGUAAGUUGACUAUGAGAAGUUGAAUUGGCUUGUGAAAAAGAUACAUUAGCCUAUUGUUGUUUGCACUUUUUAGCUAGAUCGAGGAUUAGAACUCUAUAACUAUGACAAGCCAACAAAAGUUGGUUCUUUCUUGACACAUAGAUCACCAAAACCACCAACCAAGAUAACUCAUGUUGGAUCUGUGAGAUGAGGUAUCAAAUGUUAAAGCUACUACUAGAUUGUGUUUCCUGCGUAUAAAAUGCAGGUACCUGUGUGGUCUGCCUUCUGGUUUUUGGAGUGCUUUUGGUGUGGACUUUAUGCAGGAACAUUCGCCAUAGUUUUGAUCCUUGACCUACAUAAUGCAAUACAAAGAGGAAUUGAUGUUUUGUUGCUAACUAAAGGUCUCUAAACUCUCAUCAUCAUAUUCAAAGCUAAUUUAUCAAUUCCCUAUGAUCGGCCACCAGUGUUCAAUUUUUUUAAAAGAUUUUUAAUCCUCGUAUUGAUCUUCUGUACAUCUUACUCUAAUAUUUGGUUCAAGUCCAUUCAUCAGCGAUUUUUUCAACAUAUCUUGCCUCAUGCUGUCAAAAUAUUCUAAAUCUCCUUCUCUUUCAUACCUGUCUUUUUUCUUUUGUUGUUUUAUCUCCGACUUUAUUGGGCGUGAAUUUGUUUUUAGGUAGAAGAUGGCAACCGCAGAAGAAAACAACAAUGUGAAAACUCUUGAAACACAGCCCAGCAAGUGGAGAAACGAGAAGUCCAUCAUCUGGGAACACUUCACAAUAGAAAUUGUGAGUCCUGGAUGCAGAAGGGUGUGCUGUAAGCAGUGCAAGCAAAGUUUCACCUAUGGCACAGGCUCAAAGGUCACUAACACCAGCCAGCAAACAAGCUUUUGAUUCACCAAGUACUGGCCCAAUUACGUGAGGAAAGGCAUCAAUGAGUUUUUUGUGGACCCAUCAAUUAGUUUCCCCUCAAAAUCAUGGCAGACGCACGCCAUUGAACCUUUGGAAGAUCCUUCGUGGAAAGUUCUGUCGAUGUUUGGCUUGAGGACUUGGUGGUUUCCAUCUUAUGGGAUCUGGUAAGUUUUGAUGCUUGAAAAUAGAGGAAUAUCUUCAUGUUCAAAUGUGCCAAAAAGUGACCGUGAUCAGUUCGAAAGGUGGGGGCUUUGAGGUGGUUACCAAUCUUCAAUGGCCAUCCUUCAAUUCAAAUAACUUCCUGAUUUCAAAUGCGAUGCCGAUCUCAGAGGCCAACCUUGUCUGUUUCAUCCUUUGACAAAGAAGGAACAGAUGUUUGACAGUUUCAGGUUCCUUUUCGCAAAGAGGGCAUGUCGACUCAGGUUCCUUUGAGAGAGUUAGCAAGAUAGGACUAUGGUCGGUGCCUAUAAGAGGCAUACGCUUCCAUUCUGGGAUGUCACUCUUCAUUCCACAUUGCAUGGAGCUUUAUCUAGUCUUUCUUUCACAUGGGCAUCCCCAUUCCUCUUAUUUGCCAUGUAAAUGCACAUCCUUUGCAUUUAUAAUGUCUAAUAUCUCAAAAAGCCAUUGACCUUUGGUGCUCCACCAUAUGCUUGCGUACUUUUUCCCAAUGAUACAAAAACCAAAUUGACGGAAGCUGGUUUUGGAGGCUGAUUAUUGGAGCAUGUACAAAGAGGAUUUGAGGUGUCGAAUUCUUCCAUUGAAGAUGCACGAGAGGCAGGCACCUUACUUCCUGUGAGAAAAGUACGCCAGAAGCAGCUAUUCCUGUAAAUUCAUUCUUGGGGUCGUAUCACUAUACACUGUAAUGGCAAAAUGCUGUCCAAAGACAAUGCAAUGCUCUGGGAGGCUGAUGGGGUAGGUCGGGAUUUGGGGUUUAAAAUUUGGGCGAGGAUUAACCACGGUUGUUGCUUUCAGCUGAUAUUAUGGUCAUUGAUUGCAUGCCCUGUACUUGUAGGGCGUGAUGCUAUAGAAUGGAGAUCGGGUUGUAUCAAAAGCUGGGUUGGGGUUAGCUUAUGGAACAGUGAACAUGAUUUAUGGGAAGGUUGGAGAUUUUGGGUAAAGGGCCGAAGUUGAAAAGGAAACGGGAGAUUUGCAUCUCGGGAGAGAUUAUAUGAAAUGACUGCUGUAUUCAGUGAAGAGCAUUAGGGUUUUCUGGGUGAAAACUACCACCAUUGGGGUGGGAUUCCCAUCGAGAGAGGAUAUCUAUUAAUUCCAACUCAAUUGGGU